UUCGGCUGGCUUCAGCAAUUUUAACAAUUAAAGCUGAGUAUGACACAAUUCAAUUACCGUUGUUUGCGCAGUGAUACGAGGUAAUCAUUGUAAGGAAAGGUGGUGGAUAAAUAGACGAUCGAACGACAAUCACGGCGGCAGAGCAUGGAUGUCAUGUCCUCUUUUUGAUUGGAUGAUUAUGCAAAAUGCCCGGAUACAACUAUACAUUUACCUAUGUCGUGAAGAAAUUAUAGAUGGCGGAUGGAUUUUGUGAGCCCGAUCUUUUAGAAUUUUAGCUACUUUCCCGAGGAGGAAAGUGGUAUCCAAUCUAUAUCAUGGUUUGUAAAGAAUUCGAGGAAUUAUGUGGAAAAUUUGGGAGUCUAAGUCCUCAUAAAAGGAUAGAUAUCAUGUGCGGAAUGCUACGUAUGUGCUUGCCUCCUGAGUUGAGAUUCAUAGGCUCCGUGGUUGAGGAUCUAGCGAAAAAAGAUUAUCACUUUUUACGAGAACAUGAAAUCAGAGCAAACAGUCAAGAAAAACUUAGUGAAAUUAAGCAUAACGAUCCACAUGCACUUGCUAAUAGCAUGGCCCUAAGCCUUGCCCUCUUACAUUCAUGGAAUGCAAGUUGUGCAAACAUCAUCUUCGAAAUUUUAUCCAGCAACUUGAAAAGUGCUUUCGAUGUAACUUGGUCUACAGAUACUGCAACGCGAGAUGUGAUUUUAUUGGUGCUUAUGAUGGCUAAAAACCAUCCUGCUUUUACAUUUUAUCAAAAGACUGUCAUCGGUGAACAUAAUGAAAGACAAAAUAUCUUGCUGACGUCCAACUUGGAGACUCAAGCCAAUGCAGCCACAAGUACGACAACCACCAGUACAGUUGCCAUGGCAACCAGUCAUGUCCAGCAGGGUUCUGUGAAUCCAAGGACCUGUACCUGUUCCACUACAACCCCUGUCAACUCCAGUCCCCCAUUCCCAACAUCUUCACCUCACAAACAAAAAGUCCACAUCUGUAAUAUUGAUGUUAAACAAGACAAAGGGCAUCGACGACAUGACAGAAAACAUGAAUAUCGGUUACAGGUCACAUGGAGUAAUGGUGAGAAUAGUACGGUAAGCAAGACCUAUCAGGAGCUACGGGAAUUCCAGGCCAAGUUGGUGAAGGAGUUCUCUGCUGAAGCUAGUGCCCAUAAGCAAGAGAGAAAGCUGCCAUUCCUUGGUAAUGCAAGCUCAGGUACCCGUGAAGACAUUAUAAGUUAUACCAAACAACUAACACAGCAGUCACAGCCUAUACUGGAAUGUGAUCUUGUGCAGCAGUUUUUCCAGCAGGGAUUGAACAUUGCCUCCACACCUCCUCCUAGUCCUGCAGGCUCCUGUGUGCCUGCCAAAUCCCCAGUCAAGGCUGUGUCCACUACUGUCAGUAGGAACAUCUCCGAAGCUGCAGAAUCUGUGAUAUCUAACCACCAUCCAUCCCAGCCUCUGGUAAUACACAAUUCACACCUACCACAGACCAUAGACAAUGUUGAUGUGGCAGGUAUGAGCUGUGUACCUCUCAAAGGCCAAGUCAACAACAAGCAUGUGAUGUCCAUCCAGAGACCCAUUGGACCUUCCUCACCACACCAGUCUCCUCAGUCCUCUAAUGGAGCCUCACCUAGCAACAGUCGGUCAAACUCACCUGGUGACACAAAUCACAAUCCAGAAUUGGCACUAAUCCAGUUCCUUCUCAGUAAACUUAACCUGCAGAAAUACAGACACCAUUUGGAAAAAUACACAUCGGAACAGCUGUGUAUCAUGAAACUUGAUGAUUUGAUUCUGAUUGGACUUUCCAAGGAAGAGGCAUUGAAACUCAAAGCUGAGGCGGAAUUGAUCUACAGGGAGAAGAUGUCACAUCAUCCUAAUGGUUUAAUUGAAGGCCCUAUGGGACCCCGUGGUCACCCGUCGCCUCCAAUGGUUAUGCCUCUGCCUCACCAGUUGGCUGUCCAUCCCCAGGGUGGGACACUUGGCCAGCCUCCUCUCUACCCACAUAUGUUUAUCUACUCAGCAUUCCCACCUGGUCCCCCAGGUCUUACUCAGACACGUGACAGCUCUCCGACUGGAUCUGAUUACUCCAGCCCCUCCCCAAGUCCUCGUCCACAGAAGAAGGGCACAGCCAUCCUUAUGCCAAACAAUGUGCCAAAGAAUUCUGACAGCUCCUCAGAUGAUAACGAGAAAGACAAACUGACAGGAUUGGAGACUGGACGACACCCUAGCCAGCCCCAGGUCCCUUCACCCAUGGGCUUUGAGGACCCUAAUUCAGCUCCCCAACUGCCAGGGAUGCCGUCUGCGAUGUUUGUCCCUGGAGACGGGCCACCUGUGCCACCAAUGGGAAGUGGUUAUCAGUCAGAUCCCACUCCAUCAGCUUUCCUACCACGUGUUCCAUCAAUGAUAACUCGACCUAACUACAAGGCUCAACCAGCUCACACCAAUCUUAAUAUUCCACCCAAACAUGUCAUUAGCAUGCCCCCUGAUGGUCUCAAGCGAAAUGGCCCAUUUGCAAGCAUACCUAUUGGAAUGGCGCCCCCAAUACCUCGUAGUGAUGGACAAAGUAUUACCACAAGUGUCAUGACAGCUACCAACAGUUCUGCUAAUUCAGGAUUCAAUUUCAUGGAUCCUAGUAAGCCUAACUUUAACUGGAUGCCAGUACCUCAUGUUCCUGGAUAUCAGAUCAGGUCACCACUAAUCAACAGUAACCAGCGCGGCUUCACUUGUAAUGUUACUAAUGCCACAUCCAUUACUAUGGCAACCCAGUCUGCCAGUUGCGGAGCCAUUCAUCCUGGUCACCCAGGCAACAGCUUAAAGAAUUCCAAUAGUCAUGGACAGCUGUCAGUUGAGGCUGGUUGUGGCCCACAGGAAAACAUCCACUCUGUGGCACCCUUAGUGCAGAACUCAAGUCCCAGCCCAGCAGUCACAAGUGGCUGUUCGGGGUCACACAUCUUGCAUGCAGCUACCAGUCAGGCUAGCACAACCUGUUCAAGUGCCACAUGCAGCUCAUGUGGUAGUCCAUGUGGUCAUGCCUACCCGGCCACUUACCCUUAUCACACAAACUCCCUUCCCCACCCACUCAACCAUGCACCGUUCUGGCAUAUGUCACCACACUUCACCUCCUCCUCAAACGGACUUGUACCACAGAUGUUGCGGUACCCAGGUAUUCCGUACCACAUACCACAGUCAAAUAGCUUUCCAAAUGGCCUCACACCAGACAUUCUGUCUCUCAACAACCACCCUUUCAUAUCUCAUGGGGUUCCAACACCUUUUAUGACCCAGAGAGGUUCUUCUGGAUAUUACCCAUAUCACACCCUGGUUCGUCAGCCCAGCCGUGAGGAGAAGUCACGCAAAGCCUCCUGUAGCAACUGUGGUUCACCUGACCACAAUGCAGCUGAGUGCCGUGAAAAUUCCAUGGAACACUUUGUUGGUCACUUUCGGUUGAACUAUGAGCCAAAAUCAAAUUCGGACUGAAACAUAUUGAUCUAAGGGAGACAAUUUGCAAAAUCCGAGACUACUUUGGCAGACGUCAGCAGGAAAGUGACAAACAUUAGUGCGUUCAACAGGAGGGAGACUUUAAUAUUAAAGGGAGAGGUAAACAAGGUCAUACAUGCUCACCAGGAGAAAAGGACCAACAAGACGGAGACAAGGCAAUGUUCACCAGGAAAGAAUAACCAACUCAGCAGUGUUCAAAAAGAAGGUGUAAGAAAACUGGCCAUUAUCAGUAGAUGAUAUUUGAAUCAUUUUCAGUAGGUAAUUCUAGUAAAAAUAGAACGUGGAUAUUAAGUAUUUGUGUCCAAUAAAAUGGAGACACUGACUUGGCCGUGUUGACGGAGGGUGUAAACUUCGGUGUGUUCAGUAGAAUUGAGAUAGAUAUUAUGCUUUAUAUGAUGGCGAGAGAAUAUGGACUUUCUUGUAUUGAAACUGACCCUAGUUAAUAUAUAGAAUGAUGUCAAAUGGAUAUGACCACAGCUAAAGAAGUGGAUAUUACUUGUACAAGUGUGGCUACUGCAUUACUAAAGAGGGGUUGGGGUCUAUGAUAUGGGGUUGACUGGCAUUGUUACAGUUGUGAUGUACAUGGUCUUACUGUAUAGGUAAAGUGUCUUACAGUUAAAACCAGGUGUGAUGGUCUUACUGUACAGGUAUGAUGGUCUUACUGUACAGGUGUGAUAGUCUUACUGUACAGGUGUGAUGGUCUUACUGUACAGGUAUGAUGGUCUUACUGUACAGGUGUAGUGUCCUACAGUUAAAACCAGGUGUGAUGGUCGUACUGUACAGGUGUGAUGGUCUUACUGUACAGGUGUAGUGUCCUACAGUUAAACCAGGUGUGAUGGUCUUACUGUAUAGGUAAAGUGUCUUACAGUUAAACAAGGUGUGAUGGUCUUACUGUACAGGUGUGAUGGUCUUACUGUACAGGUAUAGUGUCUUACAGUUAAACCAGGUGUGAUGGUCUUACUGUAUAGGUGAAACGUCUUACUGUUAAACCAGGUGUGAUGGUCUUACUGUACAGUGGUAUUAUCUUUCAGCUAGACCAGGUGUGAUGGUCUUAAUGUACAGGUGUAGUGUGGUUUUAGCGAUGGUGUAAAGGUUAGAACUAUUAAUUCAUAUCUACAGAUGUCGUGAAGCUAUUUUAAAUUUACAUAUGUAGAUCAACAAUGACUAUUUUUAGCAACAGUCUUUACAAUAUAUUGCUUGUUAUUUACCGGUUGAAAAAGAAAAUUGGAAAGGAUCAUCUUUACCGAUAAAGCAGAUAAAUUAUUUUACCAGGUAAUAUUUUUUUUUACACAUUUAAGGUUGAUAACAUUUGGUUACCAGUUAGAAAUCAUGAAAAAUUUACCAUGUAGUAUUGGUCAUUUGUCUAUAACCAGAAAAAAAGUUUACCAUAAGAAGAUUUACAAUAAAUUCUGUUAGAGCUGUUUGAGUUGUGGGAAAGUAUGGAAGCUACAUUGGAGUGUUUCGUAAUGAAGUUUUAUCUGUUCUGUUUUACCAGUCUGGGUUAAACAGUGUGAGAGCUUAGUGCAGAUGCUACAUUAGUAAACAGUUUUUAUCAUGCGUGUUUAUUCAAAGUAUGCCAAUUUUAUUUUGUUUUUGAUUCAAAUCCUGUAAAACGAUUUCCUUUAUAUUGUAUUAUUGAUGUGACACAGUUUUACUUUGUAAAUAUAAACAAAACAAACCCUGGGAUAUUGGAGCAUUGGCUCACCCUUUUUAAAUUCUGACCACAUGUUUGAUAAUGCUGUAGAUAGUUGAAUGGUUUUACAGUUAAUGGAUCACAUGCAAUCUGUGUAGCGUCUCUGAAACAAAGACGUACAAGGAAACUAUAAACAGAGGUUUUUAAGAAAAUGGUUCUACAGGUGGCUUUUGAUGUUGCCAAAAUAUUCAUUCCAGCUAAAAUUAUGCUGGAUAAGAAACCAAUUGUAGAUAUCUAAGUAUGUAUUGGUGCAGAUGUUAUUAAGAAAUCAAAUUAUUUAAUACAUCUUAAUAUUUAUUUGUGUCCAUCUCAGGUUUUCAAGAGACAUUGGAAAUUUAAUAUUGUUUAGCCAGCUCACUUUUGUACAACAUGUUACCAUGACAUUUGAGUUAAACAUCUUCAACACAACUCGGAUAGGAUAUAUGUCUUGUUUUAUUUGUGAAAACAACAAGGAGCCAUGAGUAUAUUAAAGGAAACACACUGUAAAAAGGGAUUUUAUAGGAGUUUCCAAACAUGCAACUUGACACAUUUGAUUUAAUUGGCAAGUUCAAAACUAUUUCUCGGAAAUGAAACCCAGUGACCUCAAAAAAUUGUCCCAACUGACCUUAUUGACCUCUGACCUUUUCUUGAACCCGGUAACCUCUUGAUUUAAUAAGCAAAUGAUCUUUAAAUCUUGGUAAUCUUUUAAAAAAAUAUCAUGCUUCAAAAAAAAAAAAAAUCAUUAAAGAUUGUUGUCAUACCAGCUCAUUAUUAAGGAUUCUCCUAGGUCUAGUCAGUGUGAAAGAUCUACUUUUGUUAAUCAGAUUCUGAAACGUGUCUGUAUGUGUUAUAGAAAUAAUUUCAGCAUUUGGGGAUUUGUUUUCAUUUUCAUCUCUGUAACUGUAUCGGUAUAUAUCCUUAUAGCCUGUAACUGUAUCAGUAUAUAUCCUUAUAGCCUGCAAUAGACUGUUUAAUGAUAUCUAUAUGUAGCUCAUAUAGACCGCAAUAGGAUGUUUCAUGUGCUAAUCUAAUGAAUGUUAUAAGGAUGAAAAUAUGUAACAGAAAAAUUGGCUUUUGUUAAAAAAAGGUCUAGUCAGAUUUGUUAUAUUGUAAAGAUCUGUAUAAUCUUGGAAUGAUGGCGAUAUUCGUAUAUCGGUAUGAUUGCAAUUUAAGUGUUGAAAAGUCCUAAUGUUAUUAAUUAAUCUGUAGACUAGUCAGAAUAUGAAGAUGGAGUUCCUGCUGCUGUUGUAACCGAUAUAUUCUUAACAUGACACAAAGAGUUGUGACUUUUAAUCAUCACCAACCUCAUUUACUAGUCUGAAUUUUAAAACAGUAUACAUUUGAGUUUAUAUAUAUGAUGACAUUUCUGUUCUCAAGUAUUUAUUAAAGAUUUUGCAACACAAGAUAAUGUUUCAGUUUACAGAAUAUUUGAGUUAGAUCUACAACAAACCAUUCAUUCCUUUGUAAGAAUUAUUGUUAUGUGGAUGUUAGUACGAGCCAGUCAUUUUACCUGUCCUUAUGUUUGCCUAUAGGAUAGGCUACAUAGGACAAGGAUUUGUUACCUGUGUAAGUUAUGUAAUGCCUGUAGAAUCACAUCUAGUUAUGAUGAUGACGUCUUCUUAGAGACAUUUAAAACAUUUUAAUAUGUUUCGCACAGAUAUUGAAUUCAAAUUCAUACACAAACAUCGAGUUUUGAAUAGUAAAUUAUUAUUUACUAAUGUAUUGAAUGCUAUUUGUCAGUUUUAUUAUAUUUGCCAAACAUGUCUGUGAACAUACUUUUUUGCGGUUAUCUUAUUUGAGUGCUCUUGGUGCUUAAAGCGUUGAAUGAUUUUAUCUCGAAUUGCAUCUUCUGUACAUUGUUUUCCAACAUAUAUAGUGGGUGAACCAAUACAUCAAUGUGCUGGUCUGUUUUCAUGAUUCACUAAAAUUUGAGCACAUGGAAAUAUGUCGUACAUGCUUGAAGUAUAUUAGGUGCUGUGGAUUUCGACUUAUUUGAUACCAAAUGUAUUGCUGUCUAUGAUUUUCUAGUGUUAUAUUGCAAGUUUGAUUAUUUCUGUUGUUACAUCAUUUGAAUGAAAUGAUUUAGAUGUUAUUCAUUUUUCCCCAGUGUAUAAAAGUGAAAAAGUUUGGAGAAGGCUCUGUUAAUUUUAAGAUGAAUUUUUUGCUUAUUUCAAGAAAAAAUGUGGAACACUUAUUUAACAAAUCUUGGAAAAGUGGGUAUUUACCUCACUUGGCACAAACAAAGGAAUGUGAGUUUAUACAAUGGUGUAGCCUAUGUCAUCUAUCAGAAACUUUCCUACUGAACAAGUUCACAUAUGGAACAAGGAACCUCAUGAUAUUUGGCAUGAAGCUUAAAAACAAGAUAAAAAAAAUAAUGAUAAUAAUCUUGACUCACUUUUCAGGUCACUGGACUGAAAUGUUAACAACUUUUGAUAAAUUUUAACAAGUUGAGAUAAAUUGCUUAAUUGAAUUGAAGGGCUUUUGACUUCUGGGAGACCAUCAGAUAAGGCAAAGAUUGUGUUAGAAAUAGAAUGAACACUGGGUGAGUGAUUAUGGUCUUAGGCCUCUUGUUUAAAUAUAGACACAAAAAGUUAGAUAUUUGUAGUCGCCACCAUAGGAAGGUGUAGAUGUCACCAUCGAGUAGUGUUAGUCAUGUUGCUAGGUAACGACUGUUUUAAUCCCUGUGUUCCCUACAACAUAAUUUGAUAUUUUUGUAGAGCAUUAUGUGCAGUUGUUUUAGAUUUUGUUACCAGUAUUUAUUUUAUCCUUCUCUGGUGCUUAUUUUGUGAUAUCAUGUCAUUGUAAUUUGUAUUUCAUACUUGACUCAUAAAUUCAAACAAAAUCCAAUCCUAAACAAAACAAAAUUUAAUUGUCUUGUGAAAAGAUCUUUUUCAUGAAAAUAUUUCAUAUUUCAAACAUGUUUUACUCUUCAAUAUUUUAUCCAUUUUGUUUGAUAUAAGUACAAUUAUGAAAAAAAACUCUGUGCAAAUAUUUUCUUAAAUUAUCCGACAAUAAUUUCACAGCGUUGUUAUCAGUUAAUUGUACCGAUCAAUGUAACUUAACUGAUAUAAUUAUAUUGCUGUCAUUUUAAGUUCCUGUUCAUCGGUUACAGAUAAUGCCACAAAAGUACAGUGAUCAUAGGCAUGUUUUAAUAAAUACAGCAUUUCUAUUUUAUCACUAGGGCAAACAAUCAGCACUUUUUUUUAGCAGAAUUAGCUUGUAGUAAUAAGACCAGUUCAGUAUCACAAAAAUAUAAAGUGCCAUCUCAUGACUAGACUGUGAUUUUAUUGAAAGUGUUUGUGCCUCACCUUAGAGUAGAAAUUUUACAGAAUAGUUCUGACCUAUUUUGAAAAUGUCUAAGACAAUCUGUGUUAAGGGAAAAAAUGUCCAGAUGUACACAAAAGAAGAGGAGACAAGUAUCAAAGUGGGUAGAUGUAUUAAAAAAGUGGUUCUCCAAGUACGAUAGGAAAUAUUCUACCAUGUGUUUGAUAUAUAACUUAAUAGAAUAUAUUUAGCAUUGAACAGUCUUGCUAUGGUAUACAUACUUGUUAUAAAUGAUGGGGCAUUGCAGGUAAUCAUAAUGAUGGGUGGAGGCAGUAGAAUUGAAUGUAUGUAUAUAUCUCGUAUCUUUUUUUACAUAAAAAUAAGAAGAGUGUUUUAGAAAUAUUCAAAAAAUAAUAAGUUUCAAAGGUUAAAAGGUCACAGAGUUGUGUCAUUUCAUCAAACAUUUUUCAACAUAAUUUCUUCAAUUUUGUAUUUUUCAACAUUUAAUCCCAUAGAUAAUGCAUAAUAAUAAUCAAAAUAAAAGUUUUCUUUGUUAAACAAGAUACUUUGUCUUGGAUUUGUUAAGGUAAUGGGAUGGACAAAUCCUCUUUUUGUAUAAUUUAAAGUCUGAGAAAACAAACUGCAAAGAGAUAGGAAGUCAUUAGAUUAUUUCUCAUCCUGGUCAGCAGGGUUGAUACUGAAUUCUUAUCUUCAUCUAGACGUGAUGAAAGAGUCAAUUUUCGGAUUCGUUUUAGGAUUCAAACUGGAGAAAAAGCUUCAAGUUUUACUGUGCUAAUAUACACCUAGUUUUUACAUGCUUAUUUAGUGUUGUAGAUAUUUCCCAAUGUUUCAGUACUGUUACCAUGUGGUCUUGUUAUAUUUGCUAAAGUAAUAGCAACACAGAAGUGUUUCUAGUGCCUAUUAUGACAAUUUUGAGAUUUGUUGUGUGGAUGUGUAGCUGUUGUGAUCACAAUGAGACAAUGCAGCUGUUUCCUGUGGUAUAACCAUUUAUUGUUUCAGAAUAACAUUGUGUUGAUUUAUUUUGUUGUAGCUCAUUCACUGCAAUAGUGGUUGUUACUUUGACAACAAUAUCUCUAAACGUGACCCGUUUUAAUUUGCGUUUUAUUGGACAGAAAGAGAGUUUUGUUACAUUAUGACUAUAUAAGCAUUUGUUAAGUGUAAAUGUGCGAAUGAGAUGGAAUUGUGUGACUGCAGUGUUGUACCUUUCAAUUCUAUCCGUAAAUAAAUGUGUAUAGGUUUGAAUUAUUCUCCAAUCAUUGAAACUGUGAUGAAUUUGUUAAUGAAGAUGUUUCCAUUUAAAAUGUGAAGAUGUCUUUCUUUCAAUCAUCUCCUCUUCUAAGCCUUAGAAAGACGAUUAUAACUUUUUGUUGACAUACAAAUGUAAUUAUGACAUGAUGAACACCUAAUUGUAUUUUUUCCCACCAACUUCACAAGAAUAUAUUGCUUUCUUGAGGGUUAUUUUUAAUAAAUUAAAAAAAAAAUGUUUAGAUGAAAAAAUGUUAAAUGAUGCUGCAUUUUUAUUUUGUCUCCCAUUGUGAUUACUUUGUCCUAUUUUAAUAAGAAAUGCCAUAUAUGAUAUGAUAGUGCUGUGUACAUACAAACGUUUUUAUCUACACUUGAUUCCAGAUCCAUGAGUUGAACUUCUUUGUAAGGAACUGUCCUCCCUAAUCAUAUCUAUUAAGGGUAAUAUAUGAUGUUAUAAACAGAAAUCUUCAUGUUUGGAAUUUCUCACACUUCUUUGUCUUGAUAAAUGCCAAAUUCUUAAUUAAAAUCUCCACUUCUGUCAGGAAAAUCCACUUUUAAAAGUGCCUUUUGUAAUAUUAAUAUAUAAACAAAAUUUAAAAAAAUUAUUAAAAAAAAUUUGCACAUUUCUCAUAAUUGUAAUGACCAUUUUAAAAGGGAGAAAACACUUCACUAAUAAAUAGGCAGGUAAAUAAAAUAAUACAAUCAAAAUACAGAAAUAAAUGUUUGGAUAUGUGGGGUGAUCAGAACCAGGAAAUUGUACAGGGUUUUUGCAGAUUGAUAUUAUGUGAAUGGUACAGGAUAUUGUUUAAAUGUACAUUGUGUAGAUAGUUUAAAAAGAUAUCAAUCAGUGGAUGCAUCAUCAUUUAUUGUAUAUUAUCUUAACAUACAAACAAAUGACAUACAUUAGUGAGAUGGUAUGGAAAACUUCCUGUUAAUUACCAGGUAUAAAUAACUAGUAUGUAGUAAUUAAGAUUUCUUAAGAAACACAGACAUAGUAAAGAUGUCAAAUUCUUUAAUUUUUUUUUAUUUUAGAAAAAAAUAUAACCUAAUAAACAGUCCUAAGAGGAAUUUUUAAAUUCAAUUUUUUAUGUAUAUCAGAUGUUUGUUUAAAAAAUUAAAUACAUGUAUGAUUAAAAGAAAAAAGUAUUUGAUUGGAAAUUAUAUUGUAAAAAUUACCCCAAAAAUAAUCUUGUUUAAUGAUUGUGUCUUUUAGAUUUCAAUUUUGAUAUUUUUGACAGAUUUUAAAUGUGUUUUGAUCUUAUUGACCAUAUAUUGCAGUAAACAGAUCUUUCUGUCAAAGUAUUUGUUUUUAUACUGAAGGUUUACACUGUAUGUCGUAUACCAUUGAGGUACAAUCUGUUUCCAACUAUUAAAAACACAAAGCAUUGGGAUAUCCAUUUCCUGGAGAGGAAGAAAGUAUGCUAUAUGAAGACUGUACAUAUGUAUACACAAAAUGCAUUACAAAAAAAAUAUACGAAAAGGAAAAAAAUAGAAAAUAAAAAAAUCUCCAUGUGAAUUGUGUAUAUUAAAAAUUGCUAUUUAACUUAUCUGUGCAGUACUGAGUGUGUAUAUCCUGUGUACAAUGUAAGCAAGGCCCUGUGUCAAGACUGAAAUGAUAAACAAUGUUUAUCAUAUCAUUACUUUGUUUGUAUUUGACAGAAAAUAUUUUAUGCAUCAAAAAAAAAAGUUUA